rnacentral:lncRNA from 1 species
CCUCUGAGCGUUUUACUACUCUACCUAUAGAGAUGCAGGCCUCCCCAUAACUCUGGUAGUGUUCACUUAAUUUAAUUUUAAAGGCACACGUUGGUUAAAAUUAUGUGCUGAUUCUUAACAAUGCUUCAUAAUCUUUUGUUCAGGCACAUUUGCGUAUAUUUGACUUUAAGGCCACUUCUGCAAUAAAUCAUCAUUUUCUGCCUGUCUUAGCUUCUGAAUGCUUUGAUCAAACACAGAGGUUUGAGUACCGCACCCAGCAGCUCCCUUCCUGCCACACACACAUUGCUUUCUCCAUCCAUUACUCCUGCUUGCCUAGCGCCCACAAUGCGGAGGGAUUAAGGAGGGAAAUAAGCUGCUUUUCUUCAGCCACUGCAUUUCCUGCUCUGCGGAGGGCGGACGGCCUGCGCUGGAAGGGUUCCGAGCACGUCCUCCCUGAAGGGCGGUGUGGCUGUUUUGCCUGCUGGGAACGGGAUUUUAGCCAUAGCCGACGCUUUGAGAAAGGCCACUUCCACAUCCAUCUUAUUCACACAAUGUGUGCAGUCUCCAGACUAAUAAUUCAUCAUUUGCACAUAUGUGCCACUUCUGCUUCAUUAUUUUACUAACGUAUUAGAAGGGCCCUGAUUUAUUUGUUAAGUGCGUUAUUAUUCUUAUCAGAUGAUGACACGUUGUUAUCCAGGAAGAUGCACUUGCUAUCUCACAACUAAUUAUGUCAAUUAAGUUUCCAUGGUCCUGCCACAAAGCACAGCUCAUUAACUUUAAUUACUUUUGAAAUGCAGCUGCUGAGAUACACACAGAAAGGAACAGACUGGCCUUCCCUAUAGAACACUGGCCCGACUUCACAGAUAUUUCAUCAGAUAAAUCUGGUUCAGCCUUUAAUGGCAGUCGCUGGGCGUCCACAGAGAGCGUCCUUCUUCACCGGAGUGGAGCGGGCCCGAGGGGCGCGGUGGCACUGGCGGCGGGCUGAGGCGCUGCGCUGAGGCUGCUGCCCCGCGGAGGGGCGCCGUGCAGUAACGCGCGCAGCUCACGUCUCCAGAGAGCGGCCGGUUAGUAAUUCUCCGAAGGGGCUGAUCUGAAAGGUGCAGAAGAACGAAGCGUGCUUGCCCGUUUCUGGGAUCGCGGCGUGCCGGCAUGAGGCAUUUACAGAUGUCCCGAGGAAGAGGGAAACAGAUCUUCUUUGGUUCUGUGAGAACAAACCGACAACGAAACUGACAGCUCCCGGGGGAUGCAGCGCCCGGGCGGACUGACGGAGUCCCAAACGCUCCGCUGCCAUCCGCCCUCGUCCCUCUGCUGCUGGCGCGGCGGCGCGCUCCUGUGGCGGGUGGAGUAGAG